rnacentral:rRNA from 1 species
UACGUAGGGUGCGAGCGUUGUCCGGAAUUACUGGGCGUAAAGAGCUUGUAGGUGGUUUGUCGCGUUGUUCGUGAAAUCUCACGGCUCAACUGUGAGCGUGCGGGCGAUACGGGCAGACUAGAGUACUGCAGGGGAGACUGGAAUUCCUGGUGUAGCGGUGAAAUGCGCAGAUAUCAGGAGGAACACCAAUGGCGAAGGCAGCUCGCUGGGACGGUACUGACGCUGAGGCGCGAAAGCGUGGGGAGCAAACAGG